rnacentral:misc_RNA from 1 species
UCGAGUUUUGAACGGGUUGUUGCUGGCCUCAUACGGGGCAUGUGCACGCCUGACUUCAUCCACUCUUCAACCCCUGUGCAACUUAUUGUAGGCUAGCGUGAAAGGUCGCAUUCAUUUGCGGCUGGAGGCCUGUCUACGUUUUACUACAAACGCUUCAGUUAUAGAAUGUUUAUCUGCGUAUAACGCAUUUAUAUA